GUUACAUUAACCGCGUAAAGUGAGGGUUGACUGUAUAUAUAUAUAUAUAUAAUUUUUUUUUUGAUUGAUAUUAAUACGGGGUAUUACAUUUACAGCGUCAUCGACUUGUGAAUUCCUCCCUUGCAGAAGAAUUACAGAAUGGAGUUCAUGCACUGUCUAUUGUGGCUCGAACACCAGAUCAGUGGGCCAAAGAACCUCAAGAAAUUGAACGUAGUCCUGCAUGUCAAGGUGGCUUUGGCAAGUAACACAACUCUUGUAUCUUUGGAAAAUGGUAAGUUAUAUGUGGAAAAUACUAAGUAAUUAAGUUCGAGCAAGCACAUGCCUGUAAGGUGGUGGUUUUGGGGUACAGUAUAGUGCUGUUAAUUUUCUUUCCAGUAAUGCAAAGCUCAUAGAAAGUUUCAAUUUUUUUUUAUGUAUAUUGUCAUUGAAUUAACAUGUUCAAAAUGUCAAUUUGACAUCAAUCUUAGGUGAUGGUUGUUAGAAUUUGGGAAAAAUGAAAUCAGGUCCAUAAAAGUUAGUUGACUAAGAUAGUUAUGGAUAUUUUCUUAAAUUGUACUCUAGACUUAAGUUGUUGUUAGGUUGGUGUGUUUAUCAUGAUGUGAGCCUUUUCUGGCAUAAUAUUGUCAUCAAAUCAAGUGGGGAUAAACUAAAGUCUUCAAGGUACCAAGGUUGAGAAAGUAUGUACUAUUUUUGAUGUAAAUAAAUAUGUAUACAGUA